AGGACAUAGGAGGAGGCCCCAGCAUAGUGUUUUUGAAGGUGCUCGAAAGUGAUGGUUUGCCAGUUCUCAUUCCACAUGAUGUUGCAGCAUAUACUGAGGUGGUGGUGUCAUACCUACCACAGAGCUCAACCGCAGCAUGCAGCCAGUUUUAAGGGGUUAAAGAGCUAACAAGAUCCAGAAGUUGGAAACUGAAGCCGAACAAAUUCAAUCUAAUAAUAAUGCACACAUUUUUAACAGACAACCACUGGAAGAGAUUAUUUAGGGAUGUGAUGGAUUAAUCAUCAUUUGAAGCUUUCAAUCUAUUGUAGAUGGCUUUCUAAACAUAGUUUAAAUUGAAAUUGAGUUGGAGGCAGAGUUUCCUUGGUGAGGUUAUUCAGCCUUUCUUAUGCAGAUUGGAGUAGGCCAUAAUGGUCCAUUCUGGGUUUACCAAUUUAUGAAUCAUCACCUACAAUGCGUACAUCCUCACUCUAAUUUCUAUUUCAGGUAAACCGAAUGUAUGUAUAACAGAAUGAAAGACUAACAUGAGAGAGAAAAGUUGGAACAAUCUAGCAGUACAACUGGAUGGAGAUAAUCAAAAGGGCAAACAGAAAUAUCAGGAUUUAUAAGUAGGGAGCACAGAGAACAAGUUGGAAAAAAAUAAUCUAAUACUACAGGGGCUUACUACUGUUAACAUUUACAAGACCAUGCGAAUGCAUAGUUUUCAGAUAACCUCUUUGAACUAAUACUAACCCUCAGGACUUUGGGACACAAACAAAUGGUAAAAUACAGUAAGUAAAAAGACAUAAGGCAAAAUAGUUCUAAAUUAGAGGAUGGUGAACUUUGAAAAUGUUAUCAAGGCAACAAUAAAAAAAAUGAACAUACUCUUGUUCAAGAAAUUAGACAAGACUUUUGCUAAACUCUUUCUCCCACCUCCAAAAAGAAAAGAAAACUAAAGAUUAGUACUAAAUAACUAAAUAUCAUCACCUAGUUAAUGUGAAGGGUUCCCAGAUUUUUUUUCAAAUAUCUGGGAACAAGAAGACAUACUAUCUAUAGACUAGUAUCAGAGGGGUAGCCGUGUUAGUCUGAAUCUGCAAAAGCGGCAAGGAGUCCUGUGGCA